UACGUAGGGUGCAAGCGUUGUCCGGAAUUAUUGGGCGUAAAGAGCUCGUAGGCGGUUUGUCGCGUCUGCUGUGAAAACUCGGGGCUUAACUCCGGGCCUGCAGUGGGUACGGGCAGACUAGAGUGCGGUAGGGGAGACUGGAAUUCCUGGUGUAGCGGUGAAAUGCGCAGAUAUCAGGAGGAACACCAGCGGCGAAGGCGGCGCUCUGGGCCGGAACUGACGCUGAGGAGCGAAAGCGUGGGGAGCAAACAGG
rnacentral:rRNA from 1 species